GACGUAGGGGGCCAGCGUUGUUCGGAAUUACUGGGUGUAAAGGGUUCGUAGGCGGUGUGGCAAGUCGGGAGUGAAAUCUCUGGGCUCAACUCAGAGACUGCUUCCGAAACUGCUGUGCUGGAGUGUGGGAGAGGCGCGUGGAAUUGCAGGUGUAGCGGUGAAAUGCGUAGAUAUCUGCAGGAACACCCGUGGCGAAAGCGGCGCGCUGGACCACUACUGACGCUGAGGAGCGAAAGCCAGGGGAGCAAACGGG
rnacentral:rRNA from 1 species